rnacentral:misc_RNA from 1 species
UAUUCUAGCCAUGCCAAAGUCUGAAAUCUUUGGAUUUAGUUCCUCAUCCAACAAAAUGUUGCUAGCCUUUAGGUCUCGAUGAAUGAUUCUGAGUCUUGAAUCUCGAUGAAGAUAAAGAAGACCUCUAGCAAUCCCCUCAAUAAUAUUGAACCUCUUUGUCCAGUCUAAUAAUGCCUGCUUUGCAGGGUCAAAAAGAAAGAAAUCCAAGCUUUUAUUUGGCAUGUAUUCAUAAAGCAGCAUCUUCUCUUCUCCCUGAAUACAGCAGCCUAGUAAUCUAACAAGAUUUCUGUGUUGUAAUUUAGCAAUCAGUAUGAUUUCAUUCUUGAACUCCUCUAAACCUUGGCCAGAGAUUCUUGAAAGCCUUUUUACAGCUAUUUCUUCUCCUCCAGGAAGCUUUCCCCUGUAGACAUGACCAAAUCCCCCCUGGCCAAGCUUGUUUUCUUCAGAAAAAUUGUUUGUAGCUGCUGCUACAGAAUUAAAAUUGAACAAUGGCAAAUCAGGACCAUUUACUUGGCUCCCUUCAAUGACUAGGUCAGCUGGUCCAGACAUCUCUGAUGAAUAUUCUUUACUCUUGCUCAUAUCGGAAACUGUUAUCUCAUUCUUUCUCAUCAAUGAAACGGAGGUAGGUGUCGGCAAAACUGAAACUUUGAGUUUUCUUUUUAGGCACCAGAGUAGCCAUACAGAUAUAGCUAGGAAGACCACUCCAGCCACAACAAUUAGUGCUAUCACAGCUGCAGAUAAUCUCUUGCCAUCAAAUUCAGAAGCAGCAAGACGUAGAUUCAUAGCAUUCCCAGGUUUGCCAAAAUUCUGCAUAUCAAUCAAGUCUCCAUUCCAUAUCAUGCAUCCAAUAUUUUCAACUACUGCAUAGGCGUUACAUGAACAGUUGCUUAAACACUUUUUCUCACAAUCCUCCGAGAGGACCCCAGUAUAGACAGAAGCAAAAUCUGGCAAUUUAUUGCAUCUAAACUUUUUAAAACCAUCUUGUUCUGCUGUACUGAUAUUUCUCUGGCACUGCAAUUCUGUUUUUCUCACACACCCACCUGACCAAUUCCCCUUUGUCCAUUGCUCUGGAUUCCUUGGAUCAAAUCCUUCCAUACAUGUGCAUUUUGGAUUAGGUGAUGCAGUACAGAUCCCGAAAUUGCCACAAUAAUUGUAGAGUUCACACUCAUUAGCAGGCUGUAGUUGGAUUGGAACCCACUUGUUUUCGCUUUCGUUCCAUCUCGACUGCUCUUCUAUUCCAUCCCAACGUAUUUGAAACCUCAUCAAAUCUUCUCUAUUUGAUGGAGUAUACGUAAAAACGUCAUUAAUAUACUUAAAUCCGUAUCUGUAAUUAGCUACGAGUGUCAUAUUUGGCACACCUUGAAAUAUUCGUUCAUCCCAGUACCCGCUUCUCCACCGCCUUUUUGAAUGCUCCCAUAUCACUAUCUGCAGCGCUCCAUUAGAAUCAACUCCCAUGGAAAAGUUCCCUGGUGAAGGAUCAGUUGCAGAUUUCCAAGAAGUGAAGGGCUUUUGCUCUCCUGAAGAAGCAAGAAUUCUCAUGUUUGGCAAAAAAGUAUCGGUGGGAUGUUUGAAGCUUUCCCAGUAGAUCGUUUUAUUGUCACUGCUCAAAAGUUUGAGAUUACCUCCAUUUUCAAGAAUUGCUACUGCGUCGCCAGAUGGAACUGAAGUAUUGCUCAACCAAACUGAAAUAUUGUUUCCAUCUUUAACAGUCAAAUUUCCAUCUUUACCGAAGGUAAAGACCCCUUCUGUAUCAAAGAUUGGUUUCUCUCUAUUAGCAACCCAGAUGACAGGCUGACCCUGAGCCUUGUGAUACCUUAUACCAACAUAUCGCAAAGAAGAACUUUCAGGGCUAAAGAAACCCAGUUCAAAAUUUUCAUCGACUGAUACUAAGGUUUCACCAUCUUUAAUUGAUUGGCCUUGUGUGAUUCUGUCAAUUCCAUGGCAGAACAGAACCAGAGAGAACAGAGAAAAAAAGAAUGAGAAAAGAAAAACAGAUUUCUUGCUCAUGAAGGCCAUUUUUUUUUUUAUUUACAAACUCUGAUCAAGAACAGGCUAGAUACUAGACGAGAAGAAAGGGAGAAAAGUAAUUAAGGAUGUUCACGUUCAAAGAAAGACCCAAGAGCCUCAAUGGCUGACCAAUGGUAGUGGUUCUGGUGGAAGCUGACUAUGGCAUUAGCAUGAGAAAUUAGAAUUAAAAACCAUUUUGGCUUUUAGGUGGACGCUACAGUCUUGAGGGAAUCACUUUACCUUGAUAGGAUAAUCUUGUUUGCAGUUUUGACCAAUAAAAUGAAAAAGGAAAAAUACAAUAUAUUGGGUUGGUUUAGGUCAAAAGAUUUCAAAAUCACUC